CCUUGUCCUGGUGGAAACUGUACAGCUGGUGGAAACCUACAGCCAAUAAGGCAACCCUCGCCUUUCUACGAUGGUCACAGUAACGAAAUAUUAAAGCUAGAACAAUUUGGAAGUAAAUGAAGUAUAACUGAGAUAGCAUGACAAUUUCAAAUAAGAUAUAGGCUUAUGUCACGUUAGCACAGCUAGUACAUUUUUUAGGGCUAAAAGCCCAGAGCGGACUCUCGAGAGGAUCUAAGGCUGUCGAAACGGCGUUUUUAUAUACGAUGACAGUAUAGGAAUAAAUUACCAAUAGUUUCAUAUUCAUUACAAAAAUGCUGCCAAGUGGUGGUCUUGUUUUUCUUCUUCAUCCUUCUGUCGACCCCAGUGCAGAGUAACACAUUGUAGCUCAAGAUCUUUUCACACCUCUGAUAAGUUUUUCUGUAUAUGUGUGCUAGCUAGACUGCGAUCUCAUGCGCGCACACGAGGGGAAUGCGAGCUGCAAUGUAACAAAACAUUUCAUUGAUAAUAGCGCAGCGUUUACAUCGAUCGAGAAGAAAGAAAAAGCGUGCUUGCGAGUAUGAGGGUUUUCGCACCCCGGCCGCGUCCAGCUGACAUGGACUACAGACUUCGAAGCUCGGCAUGUACGGCCGCUUGCUGUAUAAUUGCAGCUAUCGUGUUCUUCACGGUUGUUGCUGGAGCUCUCAGCCUCAGUGCAGCAGGAAAUUUCAGCGUGGAAGCACGUGGUGUCAAGCCCACAGUAAUGAGCGUUUUCGAAGCAGACCGGAUUUUAGGUUUCAACGAUAGCGCGCUUUUUCGAAAAUAAAGUCACUAAAAUGCA